AGGAGGAGAAGAAUUAGACUUGAACCAGUGGAACUCAACUCAAAGCAAAUUUGCUGUUUGAGGCAGAGAGAAGUUAUCAGAGCUUCAAACACCUACUGUGAACAUGAAGCUCUAGUGUUAGAGGUUUUCUCAUCUGAGCCCUGCUGUUUCAACUUCGCCAUUAUUUCUUCCGAAGACAUGUGGGAGGCUAGAUAUGAAGGAAGGAUUAAAAAGACAGGAUCACACUGUCAACUCCAAGGCUUCAUUCUUACUACUCCUAAACACUUCAAGGUGUGUGUUUGUGAAGUUACCAGUUACUGACAAAGGACAAGCUAAACAUUAAUGCUGCAACUGAGAUGCAACACACACACACACACACACACAUAAAUGCUUUAGCCAUUUAGUUUAAUGGCUUUAAUGGCUUUAGCCAUGUAUUCACCAUUUAAUAUGAUGCUUAAUGGUGGUAUUGUUGCUUAAUG